AGCAGACAGGGCCUCCCGUUGAGACAUUUGUGACUUGGGGCUGGGAUGGCAGAGCUGAAGCAGAGAGCGGGCACAGCCUGGGGCGCAGGGAAGGCUCUGCAGAGGAGCCACAUUUGCCAAUGGAACUUGAAGGCAAGGGAGUGCCCACCAUCUAGGGAAUUGGCUGUGUGCUUGGUGCUGGUUGUGCAGCCCCUGGGUCCAUCCUCUGGGAUCCUUGGACCUGACUCACCGUAGACCAGCAAUACGACCUUGGCCAAGUCUCCUUCCAUUUGGACUCUGGAUCCCACUUGCAGAGGCGGCUCCCCAAAUGCAUGUUGUCAGUGGGCCAACCGGCCAAGCGAGGUCGUCUUGUGUUCCAGCAGAGACCCUCCUAUCCUACCACGAGGCUCUGUGUCUGAUGGCCAAUGAGAAGGUGAUGGUGAUGGAUUGUGGCCCCUGCCCCAGCCCCACUAGGAGGGUACACAGACACCACAAUGAGCACAGAAUGGGGACCUGGGGGUACUCUGGAGGACUUCCUGGAAGAAGCUACAUAUCUGAGAGAUCAGGGACAGAGCGGGUGCUGAUGGGGGAGUUCAGGCCAGCUUGUGCUUCACACCCAGGAGGCUCUGGAGACCUCCCCAAGCACGGGCCAGCGGUGUCCCAGGCCCGGGGGCCUCAGCCUGAAGGAGGCAGAUUGUUGGGGGUCCACGCACAGCCUACAGGACACAUCGACCCCCAGGGGUGUACCCUGUAGAGGGAGGAGGCAGAUGGGGACAGAGAAACGCAAAACCUAGUAAGUCUUUCAGUUUUCAGUGUUCCAAAGGCGAUGAAGCAGGGUGAAACGGUCGAUAGUGGACAGGGGUCCAAAGAGACGAGGGAAAGAACGUCAUGAAUUGAAUCCGAGAAUGACCAAUACAUUUCCACCGCUUGCUAACUCUGAUGAGGCCACUGGUGAAGCGGUUAGGAGCCAAGGUCCUGAGCCUGUCGGCCUGUGUCCACGUCCCAGCCCCGUCACGUGCAAGUCACCCCACGUCCUUGUGCCUUGUCGUCACUCCUCGUCCGUGAAGUGGGGUGACCGUGGUACCCGUCUCUCAGGGGCGUGGAUGUGGGUAUAUCCUGCUGCAAUCGCUUAGAACGAGCUCCGGCGUGUGCCAAGUGACUCAGCGCUGCUGUGUUGUGCCUGUUGUUGGUGCCCUGGGUUAAGAAGGAUUCUGAGGCCUUGUGGGGCUCACUGGGGCCACCGCUCAGGAGGAGCAGGGGG
rnacentral:lncRNA from 1 species